AACGGGGGGAACGAGCGUUAUUCGUCAUGACUGGGCGUAAAGGGUUCGUAGGCUGUUCUGUAUGUUUGGCGAAAAAUCAGGAGACUGCUUUGCCAAAUACAGCAGGGCUAGAGUUCAGGAGAGGGCAGCGGUACUCUCAGUGGAGAGGUGAAAUUUGUUGAUACUGAUGGGGACCACCAGACGGUGAAGACGGCUGUCUAGAAUGAGACUGACGCUGAGGAACGAAAGCGUGGGGAGCAAACAGG
rnacentral:rRNA from 1 species